rnacentral:rRNA from 1 species
GACGAACGCUGGCGGCGUGCUUAACACAUGCAAGUCGAACGGAAAGGCCCUGCUUUUGUGGGGUGCUCGAGUGGCGAACGGGUGAGUAACACGUGAGUAACCUGCCCUUGACUUUGGGAUAACUUCAGGAAACUGGGGCUAAUACCGGAUAGGAGCUCCUGCUGCAUGGUGGGGGUUGGAAAGUUUCGGCGGUUGGGGAUGGACUCGCGGCUUAUCAGCUUGUUGGUGGGGUAGUGGCUUACCAAGGCUUUGACGGGUAGCCGGCCUGAGAGGGUGACCGGCCACAUUGGGACUGAGAUACGGCUCAGACUCCUACGGGAGGCAGCAGUGGGGAAUAUUGCACAAUGGGCGGAAGCCUGAUGCAGCAACGCCGCGUGCGGGAUGACGGCCUUCGGGUUGUAAACCGCCUUCGCCUGUGACGAAGCGUGAGUGACGGUAAUGGGUAAAGAAGCACCGGCUAACUACGUG